CAGCGCCACGAGUGGGGAUCGUAUUUAUUGGGCCUAAAGCGUCCGUAGCUGGUUGCAUAAAUCUUUUGUGAAAUCGUUGGGCUUAACUCAACGGCGUGCAGAAGACACUGUGCGACUUGAAACCAGGAGGAGUCAACAGUAUGUCUGGGGGAGCGGUAAAAUGCUAUAAUCCUAGAUAGACUACCUGUGGCGAAGGCGGUUGACUAGAAUGGAUUUGACAGUGAGGGACGAAGGCCAGGGGAGCGAACCGGAUUAGAUACCCGAGUAGUCC
rnacentral:rRNA from 1 species